CAGCAAGCUGCCUCUCCCUGGGCUGUAGGGGGGAGCAUCCAAUUGUAUUUGCUGGAAGAGGUCAAUGAGCCUCCUCAGAAAUAUCAGGGAAGUCUCCUGAACUGCAGCCUUUUCAGUUGGCAUCUAUGAUGGAAUCAGCACCGUGAGUUGCUUUUGCUUCUCGUUCCAUUGAUAUAUUCUACCUUACUUUUGUCACAGCACUGUGUGCUGCAUACCCUUCCUAAGCUCUCUGUUGAACUGGAGGGCAGGCCACUGCUAAAUCAGGAGAUACUUCCAGACAUCUCUCAGUCACUUCUUACCAAUGUACAGCUCUUUUGGGAUGAAAAUCUCAAUAUUCCAAUAUAACCCCCUUGAGUUACUGUAUUUAUCUAAGUAAACAUUUGUGAGAGAUCCAUGAAGCAAUAUGAGAAAACAGUUACUGCUGUAAUAAGGAAACAAGAAUGUUGGAGUGUAAUCAAGUUAAAAUUACAUGCACAUAAAUAAACGGCAUAAUCAUUUUAUUAAA